GCGGAGUGCGGAUAGUCCCCUGGCGGCGGAUCCUGCUCGCCUGCUUGGCGCCUCGGCCUCCCCUGCAGCGCUCAACGGUGCUACGCAAGUAGAGGAUUCUCCCCCAGUACCCCACCCACUCCUGCAACCCACAUGGUACUCCCGGCCACUGCCACAGCAGCAGUGCUGGUUCCCCAUCCAAUUGAAACAAGUGAUAACAGGAUCCCCUAUCUCGGUACCCCUCCACUCUUUCUCCCGACCGAUUAAUUUCAGCAAAGCGCGUCUGAUUUCAUUACGUUCGCCUGGUCUACUCACAGGCUGCCAGCCAUCGCGGCCAGCAAGGCCAUCAUCCCAGAGGACCCGGAUGACGAGUUCUCCCUCGCCAAGGUGUCCUUUGGCGACGCGAAUGAAAACUUCUUCCCUUUUAUGUUUGAGGUGUCCUGCAUUUGUUUGUGUUCUUGUCGGAUUGGUGAGCAUUGAGCAUUGAAGAAGGACCGAGGACCAGAUUGGUGAGCACUGAUCAGCCCUCGCCCCUCGUCUCCCUCUCGCGCAAAUCAAUUCUAUUAUAAUUUGAUAGUUUGAUUACUCGGAUAUUUGGCAAUGCUGUAGAGAUCUAGAGAUGGAGAGAUAUUUUUCAAAAGAUGUCCUAAAAAGUUUAGAAACUAAAGAAAGUGGCGUUGAG